UACGUAGGGGGCAAGCGUUGUCCGGAAUAAUUGGGCGUAAAGGGCGCGCAGGUGGUUUAAUAAGUCUGAUGUAAAAGCCCACGGCUCAACCGUGGAAGGUCAUUGGAAACUGUUAAACUUGAGUGCAGGAGAGAAAAGUGGAAUUCCUAGUGUAGCGGUGAAAUGCGUAGAGAUUAGGAGGAACACCAGUGGCGAAGGCGGCUUUUUGGCCUGCAACUGACGCUGAGGCUCGAAAGCGUGGGGAGCAAACAGG
rnacentral:rRNA from 1 species